rnacentral:rRNA from 1 species
GAUGAGCAUGCGUCCCAUUAGCUAGUUGGUAAGGUAACGGCUUACCAAGGCUACGAUGGGUAGGGGUCCUGAGAGGGAGAUCCCCCACACUGGUACUGAGACACGGACCAGACUCCUACGGGAGGCAGCAGUGAGGAAUAUUGGACAAUGGGCGCAAGCCUGAUCCAGCCAUGCCGCGUGCAGGAUGACGGUCCUAUGGAUUGUAAACUGCUUUUAUACGAGAAGAAACACUCCGACGUGUCGGAGCUUGACGGUAUCGUAAGAAUAAGGAUCGGCUAACUCCGUGCCAGCAGCCGCGGUAAUACGGAGGAUCCAAGCGUUAUCCGGAAUCAUUGGGUUUAAAGGGUCCGUAGGCGGUUUAAUAAGUCAGUGGUGAAAGCCCAUCGCUCAACGGUGGAACGGCCAUUGAUACUGUUAGACUUGAAUUAUUAGGAAGUAACUAGAAUAUGUAGUGUAGCGGUGAAAUGCUUAGAGAUUACAUGGAAAUACCAUUGCGAANGCAGGUUACUACUAAUUGAUUGA